ensembl:snoRNA
CAGCCUGAAGUGAUGAUUCACAAUCAUGUCUCUUCUCUGAUGAAAUUGUGGAGAAAAUUCUGUGUGUCUGAUCAGGUCU